rnacentral:lncRNA from 1 species
CAUGAUCAUGUUCCUCCCAACUCUUUUUUUUUGUUCUUUUUCUUUUUUCUUUUCAAUGUCUGAAUGAGGAGGGAAGAAGAAGAGCAGAGUCACAUUUCGGACCUUGGACUGGCCGGGGGGGGCGGGUAGAGUGCUGUCACAGCUGGAUGUUGUGGAUCACGCGCACACUCCUAUUUACUGCGCUCCCAACAUCUGGAUUUCAUCAUCAGAGCGCACCGCGCCCACAUUUACUCUGCUUUACUCUACACUCGGGUCUCUUUCGCAGUAAACCGGGGAAAGGAGAUGAUUAUAAUCAUGUGUUCGCUGCCGCCAGCAGCUCUGUGUCUCUUCGUGCUCCUCUUCACCGCUCUUCCGAGCCUCGUGACGGCCAACGUGGUCCAGGAGCGCGCCGCUCUUGAUGAAGAGAAAUUCCUUCGGCUCAGUUGUGGAACAUACCAAGAAAAUUAUGAUGUGAUCUGGAAAAAAGAAGGGCAAGAAGUUGCUAGCGUAAAGAAGGGAAUCAAAUCACUGCAGGAAAAUUUUGGCUUAACAGAGCGUGGAACCCUUGUGGUGUCCGAAGUGCGCAGGUCCGACGCAGGAGAAUACACCGCGAUGCUGCUUGACAGCUCGCAAAACAAAUUGUGUGAAAUGACUGUGCAGCUGAGUGUGUCAGAUUCCAGUGACCCCCCACCUGAGCCAACAAAGAAACCUGAGAAAAGCCCACCUAAAGAUCCCAAAGCACCACCCCCCCAUAAGCCAAAACCUGGACUGGCCAAACCUAGAGGUCAGUAGCUCAAGAAAGUGAUAUGUAACUUGUACCAUCGCACUGUUUUCAUACCACAGUGUGGACGUUGGUUCAGCUGCUGUUUGGCCACAGGUUUAUUCUGUUACCGGGAUUUUUCUGUCUUCCCUUUAUUGUCUCUUGUUGACAGCAGUUAUUAUACUAGAAACCCAUAAAAUUCUAAUGUCGUUUCUGUAAAGUUACUUUUCUUAAGUUUUACACAUCAGGCUAAUUUGCAUUUUAAACUGGAUUUCUUCCAGCUUCUGCUUCCAUCAUCACUGCAAGCAUCUCUGCUCAUGUGAUACUGUUAUUGGUGUGGAUUUUGGUGUGAAAAGGUGAGUGUGACCCAGCGUGUACAGACACAGUGAUCCCUGCUCACAAUUAAUGUGCAGUAUCGUGAAAAUGAACCCCCACCGGAGGAGUCCCGUCUCUCGCUGUGAGGACAUUCGCUGUGUGAACAGCACUUAGAGCUCAAAGUUCUCACCGGACUCUUACAGGGUGUGUUACCACAGUAAAAACCAGCGUACCCAGUAGUCCCUGAGCUCUGGAGCUGCUAAUCAUCAGAACUGCUUCUUUAAAUCUUCUUUCUGCGCACAGGUUCCAGGCCAUGAUUUCCACACCUUGAGAAUUCCCAGGUCAGUCUCAGUGAGUACCUCCUGCUCGACUGAGUAUAAUGCGGUUUCCUACGGUAAAGUUACCCAUAUACGGCACAGGUCCCCUCCCCUAUUGCUGCAGUUAUAAACUCUGUCCUGUGGACUAAAACUUUAUAUUGUUGGUCAUGAAGAGCCUCCAGGUAUAAAUCCGUCCAAUUUCAUGACACAAUUAAAACAUGUUUUUUUGCAAUCUUUAAACUUCUAGCCAUUACUUGCUGUCUGUAUCAUAGCCACUUGUGCAACAUCUGACUGUGUGAAAAUUAAUUUAUGCUGCAUGAACUCCUUACAUAGUGACAGGCAGCAGGUGCAGUUUACUGUAAAUUACUUUAUUCACUUCCGUGUUCUAAAGCAGGAGGCGGAGGUGUGUGCAGUGUGUGUGUUGUGGUGUCAUACACACCGCUGUUAUAAUCAGGAUGGCCACUGUGAUCAGUGACAUCUCAGCCGAAGUGCAGGCUGUAAACAAGUAUACUGCGCUGAGGCUUACCACGGUGAAGUAGUGCACUCACAGUACAGGUGCAGAACGCAGUGAUUUUUUUUUUGAAUCCGGAAUAAAUGCACAAGGGAGAAACA